AUUGAACGCUGGCGGCAUGCCUUACACAUGCAAGUCGAACGGCAGCAUAGGAGCUUGCUCCUGAUGGCGAGUGGCGAACGGGUGAGUAAUAUAUCGGAACGUGCCCUAGAGUGGGGGGUAACUAGUCGAAAGACUAGCUAAUACCGCAUACGAUCUACGGAUGAAAGUGGGGGAUCGCAAGACCUCAUGCUCCUGGAGCGGCCGAUAUCUGAUUAGCUAGUUGGUGGGGUAAAAGCCUACCAAGGCAACGAUCAGUAGCUGGUCUGAGAGGACGACCAGCCACACUGGGACUGAGACACGGCCCAGACUCCUACGGGAGGCAGCAGUGGGGAAUUUUGGACAAUGGGGGCAACCCUGAUCCAGCAAUGCCGCGUGAGUGAAGAAGGCCUUCGGGUUGUAAAGCUCUUUUGUCAGGGAAGAAACGGUAGUAGCGAAUAACUACUACUAAUGACGGUACCUGAAGAAUAAGCACCGGCUAACUACGUGCCAGCAGCCGCAGUAA
rnacentral:rRNA from 1 species